UACGUAGGGGCCGAGCGUUGUCCGGAUUCAUUGGGCGUAAAGAGCGUGUCGGCGGCCGCUUAAGUCCUGCGUGAAAUCUCGGAGCUCAACUCCGAGCGGUCGUGGGAAACGGGGCGGCUAGAGUGCGGGAGAGGAGAGUGGAAUUCCUGGUGUAGCGGUGGAAUGCGCAGAUAUCAGGAAGAACACCCGUGGCGAAGGCGGCUCUCUGGAACGCAACUGACGCUGAGACGCGAAAGCGUGGGGAGCAAACAGG
rnacentral:rRNA from 1 species